ensembl:snRNA
GCGGUGUAUGAAAGGAGAAAAGGUUAACACUCCCCUUGACAAUGAUGAAAGAGGCGGUUAAGACAUUGCCACCUACUUCGCAGCAUCGGACCAUUUUUUUUA